rnacentral:rRNA from 1 species
CCUACGGGUGGCUGCAGUGGGGAAUAUUGGACAAUGGGGGCAACCCUGAUCCAGCAAUUCUGUGUGCACGAAGACGGUUUUCGGAUUGUAAAGUGCUUUCAGCAGGGAAGAAGGAAGUGACGGUACCUGCAGAAGAAGCGACGGCUAAAUACGUGCCAGCAGCCGCGGUAAUACGUAUGUCGCGAGCGUUAUCCGGAAUUAUUGGGCAUAAAGGGCAUCUAGGCGGCCUAACAAGUCAGGGGUGAAAACCUGCGGCUCAACCGCAGGCUUGCCUUUGAAACUGUGAGGCUAGAGUAUCGGAGAGGUGGACGGAACUGCACGAGUAGAGGUGAAAUUCGUAGAUAUGUGCGGGAAUGCCGAUGAUGAAGAUAGUUCACUGGACGAUAACUGACGCUGAAGUGCGAAAGCCGGGGGAGCAAACAGGAUUAGAUACCCCGGUAGUC